rnacentral:rRNA from 1 species
UACGGGGGGAGCAAGCGUGUUCGGAUUUACUGGGCGUAAAGGGCGCGUAGGCGGUCGUGACAAGUCACUUGUGAAAUCUCCGGGCUUAACUCGGAACGGUCAAGUGAUACUGUCGGACUAGAGUACAGAAGGGGCAACUGGAAUUCUCGGUGUAGCGGUGAAAUGCGUAGAUAUCGAGAGGAACACCUGCGGCGAAGGCGGGUUGCUGGGCUGAUACUGACGCUGAGGCGCGAAAGCCAGGGGAGCAAACGGG